rnacentral:rRNA from 1 species
CAGAGGGUGCAAACGUUUGUUCGGAAUUACUGGGCGUAAAGCGUGUGUAGGCGGCCCUGCAAGUCGGGUGUGAAAUCCCACGGCUCAACCGUGGAAGUGCACUCGAAACUGCAGGGCUAGAGUCCUGGAGAGGAAGGUGGAAAUGCUUGGUGUAGAGGUGAAAUUCGUAGAUAUCAAGCGGAACACCGGUGGCGAAGGCGGCCUUCUGGACAGUGACUGACGCUGAGACGCGAAAGCGUGGGGAGCAAACAGGAGUAGAUACCCUGGUAGUCCACGCCGUAAACGAUGAGUGCUAGGUGUCACGGGCUUUGACCCUCGUGGUGCCGAAGCUAACGCGUUAAGCACUCCGCCUGGGGAGUACGGUCGCAAGACUA